rnacentral:sRNA from 12 species
AGACCCUUUCCUUUGCGGAAAUAAGGCCGGACGGACAGCCGGGGUCGAAUGCCGA